rnacentral:rRNA from 1 species
UUGAAGAGUUUGAUCAUGGCUCAGAUUGAACGCUGGCGGCAGGCCUAACACAUGCAAGUCGAACGGUAACAGAAAGCAGCUUGCUGCUUUGCUGACGAGUGGCGGACGGGUGAGUAAUGUCUGGGAAACUGCCUGAUGGAGGGGGAUAACUACUGGAAACGGUAGCUAAUACCGCAUAACGUCGCAAGACCAAAGAGGGGGACCUUCGGGCCUCUUGCCAUCGGAUGUGCCCAGAUGGGAUUAGCUAGUAGGUGGGGUAACGGCUCACCUAGGCGACGAUCCCUAGCUGGUCUGAGAGGAUGACCAGCCACACUGGAACUGAGACACGGUCCAGACUCCUACGGGAGGCAGCAGUGGGGAAUAUUGCACAAUGGGCGCAAGCCUGAUGCAGCCAUGCCGCGUGUAUGAAGAAGGCCUUCGGGUUGUAAAGUACUUUCAGCGAGGAGGAAGGUGUUGUGGUUAAUAACCACAGCAAUUGACGUUACUCGCAGAAGAAGCACCGGCUAACUCCGUGCCAGCAGCCGCGGUAAUACGGAGGGUGCAAGCGUUAAUCGGAAUUACUGGGCGUAAAGCGCACGCAGGCGGUUUGUUAAGUCAGAUGUGAAAUCCCCGGGCUCAACCUGGGAACUGCAUUUGAAACUGGCAAGCUUGAGUCUCGUAGAGGGGGGUAGAAUUCCAGGUGUAGCGGUGAAAUGCGUAGAGAUCUGGAGGAAUACCGGUGGCGAAGGCGGCCCCCUGGACGAAGACUGACGCUCAGGUGCGAAAGCGUGGGGAGCAAACAGGAUUAGAUACCCUGGUAGUCCACGCUGUAAACGAUGUCGACUUGGAGGUUGUGCCCUUGAGGCGUGGCUUCCGGAGCUAACGCGUUAAGUCGACCGCCUGGGGAGUACGGCCGCAAGGUUAAAACUCAAAUGAAUUGACGGGGGCCCGCACAAGCGGUGGAGCAUGUGGUUUAAUUCGAUGCAACGCGAAGAACCUUACCUACUCUUGACAUCCACGGAACUUAGCAGAGAUGCUUUGGUGCCUUCGGGAACCGUGAGACAGGUGCUGCAUGGCUGUCGUCAGCUCGUGUUGUGAAAUGUUGGGUUAAGUCCCGCAACGAGCGCAACCCUUAUCCUUUGUUGCCAGCGGUUCGGCCGGGAACUCAAAGGAGACUGCCAGUGAUAAACUGGAGGAAGGUGGGGAUGACGUCAAGUCAUCAUGGCCCUUACGAGUAGGGCUACACACGUGCUACAAUGGCAUAUACAAAGAGAAGCGACCUCGCGAGAGCAAGCGGACCUCAUAAAGUAUGUCGUAGUCCGGAUUGGAGUCUGCAACUCGACUCCAUGAAGUCGGAAUCGCUAGUAAUCGUAGAUCAGAAUGCUACGGUGAAUACGUUCCCGGGCCUUGUACACACCGCCCGUCACACCAUGGGAGUGGGUUGCAAAAGAAGUAGGUAGCUUAACCUUCGGGAGGGCGCUUACCACUUUGUGAUUCAUGACUGGGGUGAAGUCGUAACAAGGUAACCGUAGGGGAACCUGCGGUUGGAUCACCUCCUU